AUACGGAGGAUCCGAGCGUUAUCCGGAUUUAUUGGGUUUAAAGGGUGCGCAGGCGGCCAUUUAAGUCAGCGGUUAAAUCGUGGGGCUCAACCCCAUUCUGCCGUUGAUACUGGGUGGCUUGAUUGCGGUCGAGGUUGGCGGAAUUCGUUGUGUAGCGGGUAAAUGCAUAGAUAUGACGAAGAACACCGAUUGCGUAGGCAGCUGACCAGAUCGCAAAUGACGCUCAUGCACGAAAGUGCGGGGAUCGAACAGGAUUAGAUACCCUGGUAGUCCGCACAGUAAACGAUGAAUACUUGUUUUCGGCGAUAUAAUGUCGGAGGCAAAGCGAAAGCAUUAAGUAUUCCACCUGGGGAGUACGCCGGCAACGGUGAAACUUAAAUGAAUUGGCGGGG
rnacentral:rRNA from 1 species